CUCAGGCCCGGCCUCGCCACGGCCCCCCCGCGCGGCGCCGGCUUGGGAGCAGCACGCCAGCACUGUUUCCUAGAACCUGUCGCUUACUGUGCAGGUGAGCUCAGUGUAACUGUGUCUGUAGUUUCUCAUAAUCGGUUGUGACUGUGGCCCUUUAGAUGUGCUCUCCAAAAGAAGCACUGCUAGAAGUGUGACGGCUUCCAAAUGUGGGAGCAUUUCUGCAGGUGUCCUGCUCUUGUCUUUUAACAAGUCUGUUCAACAGUAGGCCUAAGUUCCCUUCUGCUACCAAAAUCCAGGAAUGAAACUUGACGAUGUGAAUGACAGAUUAGGAAGCAGAUAUUACUUUAUUGCAGUGCUUGGUGCAUGAGGGAUUGCCCCUCACCAUCUGAAAGCACACAGAUUUUGUAUACUUUAAUACACAAAUAUUCAUAGGGUUUCCUCAGAGUGCCCACCUAGUCCCAGAAUUGCUAUACAUAUUAAAAUCUGGUGCUAUGCAUACACCGUGUUAGUGUGGUUGUCUUGCAAGGGGGUCUGUGGUGGUUGUGAGGUUCCACUGGGAGGUGCUAUCCAGGUGAAGGGUUGUGUGUUAUGUAGGCCAGGUCCUGUACUUGGUCAAGAACCUAUUUACAAAACCAUGACCGUUGACUUAGUUUCUAAUGAGCACAUCAAUCUUGUUAUAGUGCUUGUAUCAUCAGCCCUACAGUGUACCUCCUCAAGGCUGGUGAAAUGCUGAGGCUCUACUUUUAGGCUCCAGAAGUCCUGCUUAUCUAGGACAGAGAGUCUUCUCUAGACAAAAUACCAGUCGGCUGAAGAGUUUGAACUCAUUGCUAAAGGCUCUGAACUUAUUGCCAGGUAUGAAUAUGAGGAUUUAUAGGGUUUUUGCAAGAUGGGAUCGCACAAAGAUCGCAAGCUAUCAUUUGUGACUGCAGCAAGACUGUACUGCUGCAGUGGUAUUCUUUGAGGGGAACCUGAAAUCUGCUGAUAGAAUUGGUUUCUCUGCCACUAGUUUUCAUUAAAGCCAAAUGUAUCUGUGAAGUUAAUUCAUUAUCUCAUAGUAAAGAACAGCUCACACAUGUAAGCUGAAUUUGUUUUGUGAAAUGCACAGAUUAUUUUGCUUACAGGGUUUUAAAAUAUACUGUCUCCAGGCUGAACAAAUGCCUAGUUUCACUGGGCCCAGGUGAGAACAUCUGAUUAGGAGUUCUCAUCUAAAUAAGGUAUGAAAUUCCCAACCAGCUCUCCAGUGAGGGCUGAAUACAUGUGAAGAGAGCAGCAAAAUGUGUGUACCUCCAUCGAAUCUCUGUAGGUAAGCAUUAUCUUGACACUUUCAGCUGGUUUUCAGAGGUGUAUUAAGAACAGCUUAAAGAUACAAAGCACAUUUUCACAUUCUUGUUUGAAAGAUGGACACAGAAGUAUUAUGCAGGUGGUAUUUGAACCACAUCCCUUGGCUUCUAACCUUCACUGUCUUUUUGGUCGAGCCUCAGUUAUAAUUUUACUAAGAAAUAUAUUGAAUAUGCUCGAAUUGAUGUUAACUUCCAUUGUCACCAAAGGAGGGCAUUUAAAACCGUGAAUACUAUCACAGGAAGACGGAGCUGUUGAUUUGUAAUGGUGAUUUUGCUUUAAUAUGCACUUCUGCCACGUUGAAGUUCUCUAAGUUUAAUCGCUGUGUGAUAAGAAGAGGCAGCUUGUAGACAGGAUAUUAAACCUUGAUUUCUAUCAUACCAAACAAUUGCUGUAUCUUCACCACUUCUUAAAACUGACAUCCUUUCCUUUCAGGUUGACGUGUCCUACUGUAUUAUUUAAGACUUGAUUAUUGCAGUUGAAAUUGGGUUGUUUUUUUUUAGUGCAAAACUAUGUACUUUAAUGGCUGUAUUUCAUCCAUCUUCACUGUGAAUCUGAAUCUAACUUGAUGUCUCACAAACUGCCCAGUUGAUGCUUUCCUGGCCAGGUUUCCAUGUGAACAGAGUGAGCACACAGCUAUGUAAUGUGUCACCAAUCCAAUUGCAGGCAGCACAGUGCUUGGGAAAAGCUUUACCUGGUGUUCAUCAUGAGUAGGAGUCGUCCCCACCUGUGAAGCCUGGGUUCCUGAUGGAGAAGUUGCUGAUCCUCCUCACCUGUGUCAUCCAAGUGGUUUAGAGGAAUCAUGCCAUCGGACACAGAUCAGUAAUGCUUGUUGCUUGAUCCAACUGCUGUAUAGCUGAUGAAUUCAUGGAUUUAAGACAAAUAAUCCGUAUUUCAUUACUAGCAAGUGCUAGAAAUAAAAAUGUACUCUGCACUAUUGCUUGGAAAAACAAAUCCUGAAGUCGUAAGAGAGGAUUAAAGUUGAAAAAAAAUCUCUCAAGAGAAAAACGAAGGGAGUAAUGACAUCUGCUUAGCAGCAUCCAGCCCCUCAGCCUGCAGCACGGACCUCUGGAGCCCUUACACACGGAAUAAAAGGGGAUGCAGUGAGUGAGGAGCAGCAGAACUGCAAGCAGAGCAGCGCUACUGGUGGUGGUGUUCUACCAUGGCGGUAAACAAAGCCAUCGGUUGCAGACUUCUGCACCAAUUCAGGUGGCUCCAUUGCAGGUGUAAGGUUGGAGGUGUGAGGUUUCUCAGCAGUGGGACGUUACCACCUAGCUGUGAGCUGGCUUCGCUCUGGUGGGUGUCCUGCUGUUGUUCCCCCACAGUGAGCUGUGUUCUGGUUCUGUUGGAAGGCUGCCCGGUCCUUCUGCCGGGUUUAUAUUCCACUGAAACGCGUGGCUAUUCAAGUGACCAACCUUUUGGAGUGUCUCGUUUGGCUUUGCCUUAAAUGUUUGCUGCUCCUACCCCUUCCCCCCUUCCUACAGAGGCCUUUUUAUAGGUGGCCUGUAGUGCCAUAAAGUUUUUGCUUAGAGUUGAGCAUUUUCCUAAGCUUAUGGGGUUAACCACGAUUAUGGGAGAGUUCUUGAAGCAUUUUUGAAUGUAAUGCUUUUAUUUAAUGUUUGUAAGCAAGUUCAAAGGUGUCAGAUACAAAUGUCCCAGUAUGGCACAAGGACGAGACGUGGCAUUGGGGAUUGGGCUGUUCUGUUGCUAGUGCACACAAAUGUGGCAAUGAACUUUUUCCCUCGUGCUUUAGAGCAUUAAAACAGCUGUUUUGGAUCAGAGCAAAGUGGGCAGCAGCUGUGGCAGUGAUCUGCCUGUGAUUAGUGGGCUCAGGCACUCGUGGAGUCACAGAUGGGCUUUGUGCUCUUAAGGGCACUGUGCUUUUAGGGCUCCCGCUUUUGCACCAGUGUACUUCUUAAAGUGCUAAAAGUUUUCCCAGCUGGAAGUCCUCACAGCAUCACACAGCAAAGAGCUCUGGGUUUCAGCAUCCACACAAAGGCAUCGCGCAGUCCGCCUGUGUUCCAAUGGGCACAAACAGCACUGAUUGCGUAUUAAAGCCAUUGUCACCAUCACAACCUGGGAGGAGAGCAGAGUGCCAGGACGCUGCAGGACCCCAAAGAUUAUGUCUUAUAAAUAAACAGCUCAAAUUUGUCUGAAGCCUCAGCGUGCGAUGUAUGGAGCGUUGCAUUCUGACCGUGUUACGCCAAGAUUGCUGCUAAUGGCUUUUGGCAGCACAGCCACCAAGUCAGAAAGCUGAGAUGAUUGCGGAUUGUCUGCUUCCAUACACAUCAUACAGCUGCCUGGGAGACGGUGGAGGCAGCGCCUAAUUGAUGUUUGUUCUUGUCAAUGUGUGAUCAGGUUUUGAUGCAAGGUUCUCCUCUUUUGUGCUCUUCUGGUCAAAUUUUCGUUUAAAUUUGUAUUCUGUGCUGAACAGUAGUGCCAGCAGAACCAUAAGCGAGGAGUUUAAAUUUAGGAUGUGUUGCAGAAAUCCAAAAAUGCUUUACUGUUUGGGUAAAAAUGUUUUUGUGUUUUUUUUCCCCUUCAGCUGCUGCUCUGCAUGCCAUAAAACAGCAAUCCGAAGGGUUUGCUCUGAAAGCAUCUCUUUGUGCCCUGGGCCAGUGACCCCACUGCUGUGCCAGUGAAUCAUGGCAAGCUGGAGGAAUCUCCCUGAUUUCUGAGCUCCUAAUCCCGCAAAGCCUGUAAAUGAUGGCUGGCUUAGCUUUGUUUCUGAUAAAACGAGGCUUAUGAGAUGAUGACAUUUGCUGCCUGUUUCUCCUCCGCUCCGUUCCGUGUCACCACCCAAGAGAUCUCUGGAGCCCAUCAGUGCAAGGCUGUGUGCCUAGUGCUACAACACUACCGCGUGCUGGAGAGCAGGGAGGAGCCUGGGUGAAUGUAUGGGAAUGAAUUUGGCUGUGUUAGCACUCCGAUCCCCUUCUGCAUGAUGUGCUUCCCCUGUUCUGCAGUGUCUGAUGCAGGUAUUGGGUCAGCCCAGUGAUGUUUGCUUCCCGGAGAGCACGCAUGGAACCUGCUGAUGGAGUUUGUUAACAGCCCUGCUGUUCCUUAAGCCAAGCUGGGUUUUUGCUUUGAUAAAACCUCUGGGCAUGGUGUGUGGCUGUACAGAGUGUGAGAACUCGGGGAGGUUCUUUACUCUGAGAGUGGUGAGGUGCUGAACAGCUGCCCAGAGAGGCUGUGGAUGCCCCGUCCAUCCCUGGAGGUGUUCAAGGCCAG
rnacentral:lncRNA from 1 species